rnacentral:piRNA from 1 species
UGAGAUUAGUGAUACUCAGCGUUUCUGACA